rnacentral:rRNA from 1 species
AAGUGUUCAAUCGGAAGUUUUCGGAUGGAAGAGUGGACAGUUUAGUGGCGAACGGGUGAGUAACGCGUGAGUAACCUGCCUUUCAGAGGGGGACAACAGUUGGAAACGACUGCUAAUACCGCAUAAGCCCACGGCCCGGCAUCGGGCUGAGGGAAAAGGAUUUAUUCGCUUCAGGAUGGACUCGCGUCCAAUUAGCUAGUUGGUGAGGUAACGGCCCACCAAGGCGACGAUUGGUAGCCGGACUGAGAGGUUGAACGGCCACACUGGAACUGAGACACGGUCCAGACUCC